GGACUACAAGGGUAUCUAAUCCUGUUUGCUCCCCACGCUUUCGCGCCUCAGCGUCAGUAUCGGUCCAGAGAGCCGCCUUCGCCACCGGUGUUCUUCCCAAUAUCUACGAAUUUCACCUCUACACUGGGAAUUCCACUCUCCUCUCCCGAACUCGAGCACCAGAGUAUCAAGCGCAAUUCCCAGGUUGAGCCCGGGGCUUUCACGCCUGACUUCUCGCGCCGCCUACGCGCCCUUUACGCCCAGUAAUUCCGAACAACGCUAGCCCCCUUCGUAUUACCGCGGCUGCUGGCAC
rnacentral:rRNA from 1 species